AGGGGAAGUGUCAGAAGCCAGCCAGUGAAUUCCUGCAGGACAUCAGAAGCACCUUGAGCAGAUGUGAGAAGGGGACGUUCCAGCAGCCAGAAGAGAUUUCUCCUGAACUGGAAGAGCAAGUCAGUGGUUUCUCCCAGAAAACUAUUGCACUACUGGAGGCUCUGAGGAAGUUCAAAGGUACCUAGAAGGAAUCUCGGAGGGGAAA